rnacentral:rRNA from 1 species
AAGCUCGUAGUUGAAUUUCGAAUGUGGCUGGGCGGUCCGCCUCACGGUGUGUACUGUCUGGCUGUGUUCUCUUCCUUGGUGAGCCGGCAUGCCCUUUACUGGGUGUGUUGGGGAACCAGGACGUUUACCUUGAGAAAAUUAGAGUGUUCAAAGCAGGCCUACGCCCGAAUACAUUAGCAUGGCAUAAUAAAAUAGGACGUGCGGUUCUAUUUUGUUGGUUUCUAGAGCCGCAGUAAUGAUUAAUAGGGAUAGUUGGG